rfam:Hordeum vulgare subsp. vulgare, WGS project CAJW01000000 data, contig: morex_contig_47257
CGGAUGGAGCGAUAUUGGUGAGGUUCAAUCCGAUGCUAGGUUUUACAAUCGUCGUAAGACCAGUAUCUGAUUGAGCCGUGCCAAUAUCUCUCCCUUGCUU